rnacentral:rRNA from 1 species
GACAGAGGGGGCAAGCGUUGCUCGGAAUUACUGGGCGUAAAGGGCGCGUAGGCGGGAUGGCAAGUCGGUCGUGAAAUCCCUCGGCUCAACCGAGGAACGUCGAUCGAUACUGCUGUUCUUGAGGAUUGCAGAGGAGACUGGAAUUCCCGGUGUAGCGGUGAAAUGUGUAGAGAUCGGGAGGAACACCGGUGGCGAAGGCGGCCCCUGGCCGGCCCUGACCACUGAGACGCGAAGGCGUGGGGAGCGAAC